rnacentral:rRNA from 1 species
GAUGAACGCUGGCGGCGUGCCUAAUACAUGCAAGUCGAGCGAACGGACGAGAAGCUUGCUUCUCUGAUGUUAGCGGCGGACGGGUGAGUAACACGUGGAUAACCCACCUAUAAGACUGGGAUAACUUCGGGAAACCGGAGCUAAUACCGGAUAAUAUUUUGAACCGCAUGGUUCAAUAGUGAAAGACAGUCUUGCUGUCACUUAUAGAUGGAUCCGCGCUGCAUUAGCUAGUUGGUAAGGUAACGGCUUACCAAGGCAACGAUGCAUAGCCGACCUGAGAGGGUGACCGGCCACACUGGAACUGAGACACGGUCCAGACUCCUACGGGAGGCAGCAGAAGGGAAUCUUCCGCAAUGGGCGAAAGCCUGACGGAGCAACGCCGCGUGAGUGAUGAAGGUCUUCGGAUCGUAAAACUCGGUUAUUAGGGAGGAAGAUAUGUGUAAGUAAAUGUGCACAUCUUGACGGUACCUAAUCAGAAAGCCACGGCUAACUACGUG